GGGAAGGCCAGUCUACAGGUGUGUUAAAAUUGCACAAAACUAAACAUAUGCAACCAUGAAUAUUUACAAAACUAAUAAAUCUCAAUAAGUGGUGUGGGCUACACUAAUUUCAAUUCCUGGUUUUGAUUCCUAGUUGUAGAGUUAUCCCAGAUGCUGCCCUUGGCCCUUGGCGGGAGGGUGCCUGAAAGACACACGGGACCUCCCUGGACAUGUUUUGCACCUUCUUGUGAAUCCAGUAAAAGGAUAAACAACGAUACCUGCAAACUCCAUAUGCAGAUGUACAUGCGUGUGAUUACCAUCGAACUGAAAUUGUUGGUUUUAAGUAAAUGGAAAAAAAUAUGUGGAGCUUGGAGGAAUGACAACAAUAUUUGGUGUCUGAACAUGCUAUAGAAGAAUAUUUGGGAACUGAUGAACUAAUGUCAUGGGUGAAAAAGUCUGACUUGUGCCCUCAAAACUCCCCAGAAGGGGAUAUAGUAUUGAGAGUGAAUCCUUGAACUUUAGUGGGAACUUGAACUUGCAGCUUAAUAGUCUUCUAAAUAUUU
rnacentral:lncRNA from 1 species